UGGGUUGUGGCUCAGUGGGUAGAGUGCUCACCCAGUAUGUGUGAGGCACUGGGUUCGAUCCUCAGCACCGCAU
rnacentral:tRNA from 1 species